GAACGCACAUUGCGCCCUUUGGUAUUCCGAAGGGCAUGCCUGUUCGAGCGUCAUGAUCAACCUCAAGCGCUGCUUGGUAUUGGGCUCUCGUCUCUUCUGACGUGCCUGAAAAUCAGCGGCGGUGCCUCGACAGCCUCAAGCGUAGCAGACUGACUCGCUUAGAGAUGGCGUGGUACUGCCAACCAAACAAUCAAGUUGGACCUCGGAUCAGGUAGGGAUACCCGCUGAACUUAAG
rnacentral:misc_RNA from 1 species